GACGAACGCUGGCGGCGUGCUUAACACAUGCAAGUCGAAAGGAGUGGCGAACGGGUGAGUAACACGUGGGUGAUCUGCCUAGCACUUCGGGAUAAGCAUGGGCAACGGGGUCUAAUACCAGCAAGUGCAAGAUGAGCUCGCGGCCGAUCAGCUCGUGGGUGGGGUAAUGGCACACCAAAGCGUCGACGGGUAGCCGGCCUGAGAGGGUGGACGGCCACAUGGUGACUGAGAUACGGGCCAGACUCCUACGGGAGGCAGCAGUGGGGAAUAUUGCACAAUGGGCGGAAGCCUGAUGCAGCGACGCCGCGUGGGGGAUGAAGGCCUUCGGGUUGUAAACUCCUUUCGACAGGGACGCGGUACCUGUAUAAGAAGCACCGGCUAACUACGUGCCAGCAGCCGCGGUAAUAC
rnacentral:rRNA from 1 species